rnacentral:tRNA from 1 species
UAUAUUUUAGUAUAAAGUACAUAAGGUUUUGAUUCUUAAGGAGUGAGGUUGCUCAUAAAUAUAAU